ACUGGGCGUGGUGGCCCAUGCCUGUAAUCACAGAGAUCUGAGAGGUUGAGGCAGGAGGAUUGUGAGUUCAAAGCCAGCCUCAGUAAAAGCAAGGCGCCAAGCAACUCAGUGAGACCCUGUCUCUA
rnacentral:sRNA from 1 species